rnacentral:rRNA from 1 species
GAUGAACGCUGGCGGCGUGCCUAAUACAUGCAAGUCGAGCGAAUGGAUUAAGAGCUUGCUCUUAUGAAGUUAGCGGCGGACGGGUGAGUAACACGUGGGUAACCUGCCCAUAAGACUGGGAUAACUCCGGGAAACCGGGGCUAAUACCGGAUAACAUUUUGAACCGCAUGGUUCGAAAUUGAAAGGCGGCUUCGGCUGUCACUUAUGGAUGGACCCGCGUCGCAUUAGCUAGUUGGUGAGGUAACGGCUCACCAAGGCAACGAUGCGUAGCCGACCUGAGAGGGUGAUCGGCCACACGGGGACUGAGACACGGCCCAGACUCCUACGGGAGGCAGCAGUAGGGAAUCUUCCGCAAUGGACGAAAGUCUGAUGGAGCAACGCCGCGUGAGUGAUGAAGGCUUUCGGGUCGUAAAACUCUGCUGUUAGGGAAGAACAAGUGCUAGUUGAAUAAGCUGGCACCUUGACGGUACCUAACCAGAAAGCCACGGCUAACUACGUGCCAGCAGCCACCGUAA